GAGUUUGAUCAUGGCUCAGAUUGAACGCUGGCGGCAGGCCUAACACAUGCAAGUCGGGCGGUAGAGAGAAGCUUGCUUCUCUUGAGAGCGGCGGACGGGUGAGUAAUGCCUAGGAAUCUGCCUGGUAGUGGGGGAUAACGCUCGGAAACGGACGCUAAUACCGCAUACGUCCUACGGGAGAAAGCAGGGGACCUUCGGGCCUUGCGCUAUCAGAUGAGCCUAGGUCGGAUUAGCUAGUUGGUGAGGUAAUGGCUCACCAAGGCGACGAUCCGUAACUGGUCUGAGAGGAUGAUCAGUCACACUGGAACUGAGACACGGUCCAGACUCCUACGGGAGGCAGCAGUGGGGAAUAUUGGACAAUGGGCGAAAGCCUGAUCCAGCCAUGCCGCGUGUGUGAAGAAGGUCUUCGGAUUGUAAAGCACUUUAAGUUGGGAGGAAGGGCAGUAAAUUAAUACUUUGCUGUUUUGACGUUACCGACAGAAUAAGCACGGCUAACUCUGUGACA
rnacentral:rRNA from 1 species